GAACGCUGGCGGCGUGCCUAAUACAUGCAAGUCGAACGAGUUCUGAUUAUUGAAAGGUGCUUGCAUCUUGAUUUAAUUUUGAACGAGUGGCGGACGGGUGAGUAACACGUGGGUAACCUGCCCUUAAGUGGGGGAUAACAUUUGGAAACAGAUGCUAAUACCGCAUAAAUCCAAGAACCGCAUGGUUCUUGGCUGAAAGAUGGCGUAAGCUAUCGCUUUUGGAUGGACCCGCGGCGUAUUAGCUAGUUGGUGAGGUAACGGCUCACCAAGGCAAUGAUACGUAGCCGAACUGAGAGGUUGAUCGGCCACAUUGGGACUGAGACACGGCCCAAACUCCUACGGGAGGCAGCAGUAGGGAAUCUUCCACAAUGGACGCAAGUCUGAUGGAGCAACGCCGCGUGAGUGAAGAAGGCUUUCGGGUCGUAAAACUCUGUUGUUGGAGAAGAAUGGUCGGCAGAGUAACUGUUGUCGGCGUGACGGUAUCCAACCAGAAAGCCACGGCUAACUACGUGCCAGCAGCCGCGGUAAUACGUAGGUGGCAAGCGUUAUCCGGAUUUAUUGGGCGUAAAGCGAGCGCAGGCGGUUUUUUAAGUCUGAUGUGAAAGCCCUCGGCUUAACCGAAGAAGUGCAUCGGAAACUGGGAAACUUGAGUGCAGAAGAGGACAGUGGAACUCCAUGUGUAGCGGUGAAAUGCGUAGAUAUAUGGAAGAACACCAGUGGCGAAGGCGGCUGUCUGGUCUGUAACUGACGCUGAGGCUCGAAAGCAUGGGUAGCGAACAGGAUUAGAUACCCUGGUAGUCCAUGCCGUAAACGAUGAAUGCUAGGUGUUGGAGGGUUUCCGCCCUUCAGUGCCGCAGCUAACGCAUUAAGCAUUCCGCCUGGGGAGUACGACCGCAAGGUUGAAACUCAAAGGAAUUGACGGGGGCCCGCACAAGCGGUGGAGCAUGUGGUUUAAUUCGAAGCAACGCGAAGAACCUUACCAGGUCUUGACAUCUUUUGAUCACCUGAGAGAUCAGGUUUCCCCUUCGGGGGCAAAAUGACAGGUGGUGCAUGGUUGUCGUCAGUUCGUGUCGUGAGAUGUUGGGUUAAGUCCCGCAACGAGCGCAACCCUUAUGACUAGUUGCCAGCAUUUAGUUGGGCACUCUAGUAAGACUGCCGGUGACAAACCGGAGGAAGGUGGGGAUGACGUCAAAUCAUCAUGCCCCUUAUGACCUGGGCUACACACGUGCUACAAUGGAUGGUACAACGAGUUGCGAGACCGCGAGGUCAAGCUAAUCUCUUAAAGCCAUUCUUAGUUCGGACUGUAGGCUGCAACUCGCCUACACGAAGUCGGAAUCGCUAGUAAUCGCGGAUCAGCACGCCGCGGUGAAUACGUUCCCGGGCCUUGCACACACCGCCCGUCACACCAUGAGAGUUUGUAACACCCGAAGCCGGUGGCGUAACCCUUUUAGGGAGCGAGCCGUCUAAGGUGGGACAAAUGAUUA
rnacentral:rRNA from 1 species